CCUACGGGUGGCAGCAGUGAGGAAUAUUGGUCAAUGGACGGAAGUCUGAACCAGCCAUGCCGCGUGCAGGAAGACGGCUCUAUGAGUUGUAAACUGCUUUUGUACAAGGGUAAACCUGAAUACGUGUAUUCAGCUGAAAGUACUGUACGAAUAAGGAUCGGCUAACUCCGUGCCAGCAGCCGCGGUAAUACGGAGGAUCCAAGCGUUAUCCGGAUUUAUUGGGUUUAAAGGGUGCGUAGGCGGAUUGAUAAGUUAGAGGUGAAAUGUCCGAGCUUAACUCGGGAACUGCCUCUAAUACUGUUGGUCUAGAGAGUAGAUGCGGUAGGCAGAAUGUAUGGUGUAGCGGUGAAAUGCUUAGAGAUCAUACAGAACACCGAUUGCGAAGGCAGCUUACCAAUCUAUAUCUGACGUUGAGGCACGAAAGCGUGGGGAGCAAACAGGAUUAGAUACCCGGGUAGUC
rnacentral:rRNA from 1 species